rnacentral:rRNA from 1 species
AACGAACGCUGGCGGCAGGCCUAACACAUGCAAGUCGAGCGAACCCUUCGGGGUUAGCGGCGGACGGGUUAGUAACGCGUGGGAAUAUACCCUUUGGUACGGAAUAGCCUCGGGAAACUGAGAGUAAUACCGUAUGUGCCCUUCGGGGGAAAGAUUUAUCGCCAAAGGAUUAGCCCGCGUUGGAUUAGAUAGUUGGUGGGGUAAUGGCCUACCAAGUCUACGAUCCAUAGCUGGUUUGAGAGGAUGAUCAGCAACACUGGGACUGAGACACGGCCCAGACUCCUACGGGAGGCAGCAGUGGGGGAAUCUUAGACAAUGGGCGCAAGCCUGAUCUAGCCAUGCCGCGUGGACGACGAAGGCCUUAGGGUUGUAAAGUCCUUUCAGAUGGGAAGAUAAUGACGGUACCAUCAGAAGAAGCCCCGGCUAACUCCGUGCCAGCAGCCGC